UACGGAGGGGGCUAGCGUUGUUCGGAAUACUGGGCGUAAAGCGCGCGUAGGCGGACCUGCAAGUCGGGGGUGAAAGCCCGAGGCUCAACCUCGGAACUGCCUUCGAUACUGCGGGUCUCGAGUCCGGGAGAGGUGAGUGGAAUUCCUAGUGUAGAGGUGAAAUUCGUAGAUAUUAGGAAGAACACCAGUGGCGAAGGCGGCUCACUGGCCCGGUACUGACGCUGAGGGCGACGAAAGCGUGGGGAGCAAACAGG
rnacentral:rRNA from 1 species